GUCAUAGCGUACAUGAUAGAUCUCACUACCGAAGUACAUGGGAUUCUAUUCAUACUCUCUCUCUCUCUUGAGGAGUUAUUGAACAAUCCUUUUUAGAGAGAGUAAUUCCUUGGCCUAUCAAUAGAUAGCCCUUCUUAAAAUUUUUUAUGCUGAACAAUUUCAGCAUGGUAUCAAUAUACAUGGAUUAGGAUAGUUCAAGCAUC
rnacentral:lncRNA from 1 species